UUUUUAUCUUACAGACGUUUCUGAUAUUUUCUGCACAUGUAUUACUUUUGUAAUCAGAAAAAUAACUGAAAUUAAAAAUUUAAAAUAUGAACUAAUUUACAAAGAUUAUGUAGACCCAUAUGAACAAGUGAAGAUGUUUUAAAAUGCUGUUUAGCUCACUAGAAGAACCAUUUUUAAUUUUUUAAAUUUUUUUUAAAUUUAUUUAUGAUAGGCACACAGUGAGAGAGACAGGCAGAGACACAGGCAGAGGAAGAAGCAGGCUCCAUGCACCGGGACCCCGACGUGGGAUUCGAUCCCGGGUCUCCAGGAUCGCGCCCUGGGCCAAAGGCAGGCGCUAAACCGCUGCGCCACCCCGGGAUCCCAAGAACCAUUUUUAAACAGUAUGGACCUAGUACCUCUUUUGUGAAGCAACAGCUGGGGAGACUGGCGCUCACCGUGGCUGCUGAAAAGACCAAGGAAGGAGUCAAAACUGAGAACAGCGACCAUAUUAAUUUUGAAGGUGGCAGGUCAGGAUGGUUCUGUGGUACAGUUUAAGAGGCAUACACCACUUAGUAAACUAAUGAAAGUCUGUUGUGAAUGAUAGGGUUUGUCAGUGAGGCAGAUCAGAUUCCUAUUUGAUGGGCAGCCAAUCAAUGAAACAGACACACCUGCACAGCUGGAAAUGGAGGCUGAAGAUAUAACUGGUAUGUUCCAGAAGCAGACAGGAUGUGUACAUUACAAAGGGGACCUGCUACCUUACUCUAGAACUGUUUCUCCAGACCGAGAAGACAUUCUAAAUUAGAAAACUGCAAUUCGGGAGGCACCUGAGUGACUCAGUCAGUUAAGCAUCUGACCCUUGAAUUUGGCUCAGGUCGUGAUCUCAGGGUCAUGAGACCCUGCAUCUGGCUCCAUGCUGGGUGUGGAGCCCACUUGAGAUUCUCUCUCCCUCUCCCCAUGUCCCUAUCCCCUCUCUUUCUCUAUCCCUCUCUUAAAAAAAAAAAGAAAGAAAGAAAGAAAGAAAGAAAACCGCAAUUUGGUUCCACUACAUCCUGCCUACUGCAGUAUAGUUUUCUCUAUUCUUUCAUGUUCCCCUUCCCUAUUCCUUUAUUGUACAUAUAGUAACUGCACGUGUACAAGCAUAUUGCAUUUUUUAACUAAAUGGCCAGUGGUAUGUUUUGAUCAACAUCAAAUGGAAAUGGGAUGGAAAAAAAAAAAAAGGAAAUGGGAUGGAGAAAAAUACUAGUUCUGCAAAAAUACACUUUGUCCAUUAAGUGACAUUCUCAUUUGGCUCUCAUCUUUAUAUUCCAGUAAGUUGUUUUGUUCUCACUAUUUAACAAAAAAGAACAACAUAAAAUCCUUGCAUACUUGUUCAGUUGGAGAAUUUUAAUGUUUUUCAUUUACCACUGUGAAACCAAGGACAAUUUUAUAACUUUUUUGUAUGUAGCUAUUACAUACAGGGCAAUCUGUCCUUAAGUAGGGAUAAAAAAAUAAAUCCUAGAUAGUUUUCCCUUCA
rnacentral:lncRNA from 12 species